AGAAAUUCAGUCUAGGAUAAUCCAAGAGGACACUUACGAAUCUAGGCACGGUAAUCGAAAGCCAAAUUGCUAGAAGGAUUCUAUGCUCGUUUGAGGAAAACGAGCGCUAAUAAUUUUCAUGUGUCUCUUCUCAAAGAGAAGAGUCGUUUAUAUAAUAAUCAGGAUUAAGGUUUCUCUUAGGGUUGCUGUCAUGGGUUGCUUUGGAAGCAAGUCAGGGGUAAUCCAGAUUUCAAUGAGGAUUUAGGGUGUCCAAAACCAACGAAUUUCGUUAGUUUUACCAUAAUCACCCUCAAUAAUUUGAAUUUCCCACUAUGGCUCCAUAUAUAAAAUUCAGAGAGCCUAGCCAGGGGCUCUGCCCCUUAGACCCCUAGCGGUGCACUGCCCCUAGACCCUGCCAAAGGGGAACUGCCCCUUUAGAAACCCUAGACCCAGGGGCGCUGCCCCCGGAUCCCCGACUUGUCGUUGAACUGACUUCUAAUUCGAUCUUAUACAUGUGUUGUAACGCCCGCAAAUCUAGGCUAGUCAAAUUAGAGGCAAUAGGGGUUGAAAACGACUUUUCGACAAAAGAUUAUUUAGAAUAAAUAAUCUUAAUCAAGUUGUAGAGUAUGUUACAAGGUUUUCGUACAUAUAAAGAACGCCGAAAACCGAGUUAUAACGAAGAAGUUAUGACCCGUUGAAGUUUCGCGACGGAACCGGCACGAUACCGAGAAGCGUAAAUAGUGAAUUUACGAUAGAGCGAGAUUUAGCCUUAGCGAUCUAAACGAAAGUCGUAGAAUAUGUUAAACUAAGAACAUCGAUAAAAAGAACGCCCAAAUCUGACUUCGUAUGAGGAAGUUAUGAUUUUUUCUAAGAUUUAGCAUAGCAGUGCACAGCCCGAAAUCUGAAUUUUAGAUCGGUCGAUUUUUAGCCGACGGGAUCUAAAUGAAAGUUGUAAUACUCGUAAAUACCAACGCGUGGAUAUAAAUAACGUCAAAAACGGAGUUCGUAUGAACGAGUUACAAAUUAUAAUAGCAUAUUUACGUAUUAAAAUAAAGUAUAAAUCAUAUAUACGUACACAUAAAUAUACAUAUGUAUAUAUCAUUAGAAAGGUAUCGACGAUGCGGUCAUUAUAAGACUAAUGUUGAGUUCUUUCGACAUUAGUUUAGUGCAAAUAUCCUUAAAUCUAUUUAAAAUAGUAUUAUAAAGGGGUGUUUAGUUGUUUAUAUAACUAUAAGGUCAUUAAGUAAUUAUGGAGGGUAGUUUUUGUAAAUUCAAUUACUAUAAAUAAGAGGCUUGGGCUCUCAUAUUUCUUGCACCAUUCUCUUGAUUCAAGAGUCUUUCUCUCCUUAUCCCCCGAGCAUUUCGGUCCCUCGUGAUUCGACUUCUCUUUCUGUAGUUUUAGUAUAGUAAGGUGAGCGCUGAAGCGCUGCACGAAUCUUUCUUAGAAAGAUUCAGCGACGAAGUUCUGCCCCUGCAGAGCCCGACUCCUAGCUAAAAUCCCCUUGUAAGUAAGUUAUGCUUACCCUAUUUUAAAUAUAGUUUAUAUUUAAAAUUAGUAUUGUUAUUAUAAAUUUAUAAUAAAUAUUUGAGCUAUUAUUAUGACUUAUAUAAGUGUCGUUAUAAUAUCUUUUUAACUACUCGCGGUACGGGGAAUCUGGUUUAAAGGGCCGCAUAGGGUUGUUGGAUUUCAGAAGUGCUAUAUGCCAAAAUGGUCCUGCCCUCCGGUGUUUUAUGUCUGGCCCCUGUCUGUACAUAGUGGUUGGAAAGUAUUGUUUAAACGCUUAUAUAAUAAUAAUAAUAAGACUAAUAAUUAGUCACGGUAAAUAUUAGACUAAAAUCUAGUGGUAAUAAUACUAGGUUUCGUCGAAGGAAAUUAUUUUAAAGUAAACGAAGCGCUGUCCGAGUACCGAGUCACCACCUUCUCAAGUGAGUGCAUAGUUACUUUCAUCUUACACAUAGAUAUGAAGUAUUUUAUAUAAACUACGUGCUAUGUGUGCACAUUAUCUGAAUACUUGCUGUCUAUGCUGGUUGAACGUUUUAUACAUGUUUUAAAGGACUUAAACUGUAUACGUAUUUUAUAUAUACGAAAAUGUUGGGUAUGAGAUGGGUAGAUGAAUGAUGAGAGAUAGAAGAUGACGUGAGUAUACAUUGGCAGCUACAGACUUAGUGCCUAUGGGACAAACACCGGUAGCUAUGGACUUAGUACCUUUUAGACGUUGGUAGCUAUGGAUUUAGUACCUGUAGGAAUUGGUAGCUAUGGACUUAGUACCUGUUGAACAUUGGUAGCUAUGGACUUAGUACCUAUUAGAUAAAGACUGGUAGCUAUGGAUUUAGUACCCGAUGAAUAGACUAUAGCAGCUAUGGAAUUAGUGCUUUAUGAACGAACAUUGGCAGCUAUGGAUUUAGUGCCAGUCCCAUAACCCUGGAAGUAAGGGACUUCGGAAUAAACGAAUGCAGGAUAGAUGACUCUUAGGUUAAAUCCUUAAAGAGUAAAGAAGAUAAUGGGGAUGGGUAAUUGGGUUGAUUGUUUGAUUGAACAUAAUAAUUAUAUUAUUGUGGGUUGAAAACCCUAUGUACUCACCAGGUUUCCCAACCUGACCCACUCAGUUUAUGUAUAUCACAGGUGACGAAGUGAAGUGACAUUACACUGAGAGAUUUAAAAGAGAUGUAGAUCACUAGUGUAAAUCAUUGUAAGUUCUGUUUAUGCUUAUGUUUCGGUAUUAACGAUGACAUCCCAAACAUUUUAAAAUGAAAUAAAUACGUUUCUUCGAAAAUGUUUUAAUAACGUAUUUACCAUGUUUUUCUGGGAACAAAUUCCGCAACCUUUUUAUAAAAUGAAGUACUCUGAUUUUUAUAAAGCAUAAACAAAAUCGGUCUUUUCUGGCCGUGAUUUUGGGGAUGUCACAGUUGGUAUCAGAGCAUUAGUUUAAGCGAACUAGGAAUAUGGAUUUAUUUCUAGACUUAAACUUAGAAUGCUAAGCGAUGAUUGUGAGGUGUGAGCACUAGCUUAUUUUAGGAAUUAUGCCUAAAAUGCUUUUAUGUGCUAAAUGCUUUGUGCAUGAUAUGUUGUUAAUUGUUCGGAUCUAUGGUCUGUUGCCGACCGGAUCUGGAAACCUUAUGUGUUUAGGAUUCUAAACGUACGACUACGGUAUUAGAACUAGCAUGUAAACGUUUCGGAGUGAUAAGGAUGAUUUAAACGUCAAGUAAAGGUCUAAAUUCACCUUAUUCGGUGUAUAGAUCGAGAUGGUAAGGACCCGUAGCGGAAACGUAAACGCAAAUGGGAACAGGAACCAACCCCCAGUGGUUCAGCAAAUACCUGUUGUAGAAGAAGUUGCGCCUGAGCCAGUCACCAUGGCUGGAGUUCAAGCCAUGAUUCGGGCUAUGUUGGCUGAACAAAGGGAAGAAAUGAGACGGAUGUUGAAUAGGGACGAACCUACUAUGCCCAUUGAGCAACCCGAACUGAUUCCCGAGCAAUCUGAGGAAGGGAACUACAGCCGCCAAGUGAGUCAAGUUGGGACUCAAGGUGAGCAAAGGGAUGGCCCAGAAGGGAGAAACAACAAGGAUGGGCGGAUGUACAAGAAUUUCUUGGGUGCGAAACCACCAAGUCUCUCAGGAAGCCCGAAGCCGGUUGAGAUUAUGGAUUGGAUCUCUGAGAUGGAGAUGGUGUUUGAGAGCUGCAGCUGUAACGAGAAACAGAAGACUGUCUUCGCUGUAAGACAACUGAAAACUGGAGUCUUGAGCUGGUGGAAGCUAUUGGCAGAUACGAUGCCACGAGGAGAAGCCUUAAGGAUGUCGUGGGAAGAGUUUUUGGAACAGUUGAAAAUGCAGUACUGCUCGGAGGUAGAUCUGAUAGACCUAAACAACGAGUUUCAGAACCUGAAGAAAGGGAAGAUGAGUGUUGAUGAGUAUGCCACCGCAUUUACCGAGAGGAUGAAGCUAUUUCCCUACUUGGUGCCUACUGAACUCUCCAAGAUUGAUAGGUUUGCUAACGGACUGCCCACUGACUUUGGCCCAAUGGUCAAAAUGGCAACUACCUUGAAAGCAGCUGUUAGGGCAGCUAAGAACGUAGAGGCCCAGAUAAGAGAAAAGGGUCUAGAAAAAGAUAAGGCAGGAGAGAAGCGAAAGUUUGAGGGAUCUUCGAGGUCGAACAAGGAAAGAAAAUUCUCAAAACUUGGAGGAGCAGAUGGAGGUGAAGCAAGAUGGUGUGAUAGAUGCAAGAAGAAGCAUGGUGGGAAGUGCAAUGAAGAAGUGACUUGUUACAAGUGUGGGAGGACUGGUCACUAUUCCAAAGACUGCACACAUGAUGAUAAAGUAUGCUACGGAUGUGGAGGCAAGGGGCAUAUGUCCAGAGACUGCCCAAAGAAAAAUAAAGCAGUAAGACCAGAAACGCCACCAAGGCCAAGGGCAUUUCACAUGAUCCUCGACGAAGCAGAAAACCGUGCGAGGAAUCAAGGAUGAGGACUUCAUAUCAGAAGAUCAAGUUAUGUAGUAGCCAUAGUAUUUUAUGAUGUAGCCUAGUAGAGGCAUAGUCUAGGGUGAACUUGAACACCUAUGUAAUCGUUUCAAGAAUUAAUAUAAAACCUUCGUUUUGUUAUCUGAUGUGUCGAAUGAUUGUGUGAUUUGCUGCAUGGUGACUUGGGAAACUGCGAGACAAUACUUGGGACGAGUAUGAGUAGGUGUGAAUGGUAGUAGAGGCCUAUACUACCGGAAGCACAGGACUCACACUUGGAUCAGGGAAAGUCACAAGGUUACCAAGAAGCUAGUAAUUGAUUUCGUUUUAUUCAAGUGUGUUGUUACCAUCGUUUCGGUAAUGACUAAGAAGAUUGUUGAUAUUCCGACCCUAGUGGUCAUAUCGAAUCGAGUCCGACUACGAUGAGUAUGUUGAGUGGUUCAGAGAACCAAGUUUGAUGUAGCGUCCGACUUAAACCAAACAAUUGAAAUCAAAGCGAUCAAUAGAAGUAUCGCACUCGUUGUUAAAGAAGUUGGUGGCUAGAAAUGCCUAAUGUUAAAGUGUGAUUAUAUCACAUUAGAACAUGAAGGAAGGCAUAGUCUGUUUUAGAAUUUAACUCUAAGAGACCUAAGUCUAAGUGUUGCAACAUACGAUGAUAGGUCAUUAGAAUAUGACACAUCGAUCUAUAGUAGUAAUAAAAGAACUUAUCUCAAGUCCGUAUCCAGCAAGGAUCGAGAUUGUGACUUGAAGGUCAUAAUUUGGAGUCUAACCUGAGGUAGAGAGCAGGUGCACGAUCGAGUACUCUUACAGUCAAUGAGUUUAAGAGAUAGAAUUGAAGGAAUGUAGAAGUUAUAAUUAUUACCUAGGAUGAAGAGAUGACGUAUGGAGUCAUUAUACGACCCUGUUUCGUUGAUGAUUCCGGGACGUAAUCAUCCUAAGGGGGAGAUAAUUGUAACGCCCGCAAAUCUGGGCUAGUCAAAUUAGAGGCAAUAGGGGUCGAAAACGACUUUUCGACAAAAGAUUAUUUAGAAUAAAUAAUCUUAAUCAAGUUGUAGAGUAUGUUACAAGGUUUUCGUACAUAUAAAGAACGCCGAAAACCGAGUUAUAACGAAGAAGUUAUGACCCGUUGAAGUUUCGCGACGGAACCGGCACGAUACCGGGAAGCGUAAAUAGUGAAUUUACGAUAGAGCGAGAUUUAGCCUUAGCGAUCUAAACGAAAGUCGUAGAAUAUGUUAAACUAAGAACAUCGAUAAAAAGAACGCCCAAAUCUGACUUCGUAUGAGGAAGUUAUGAUUUUUCUAAGAUUUAGCAUAGCAGUGCACAGCCCGAAAUCUGAAUUUUAGAUCGGUCGAUUUUUAGCCGACGGGAUCUAAAUGAAAGUUGUAGUACUCGUAAAUACCAACGCGUGGAUAUAAAGAACGUCGAUAAUAGAGCUCGUAUGCAAAAGUUAUGGACGAAGCUUAGUCCCUACUUUUCGAGCGCGGCGAAUUCGAUACAGUUUUGUAAAUACGAGAUAGAAUGAGAAUUAGCCAACGAGGUCUAAAUGAGAGUUGAAGAUCUCAUUAAUAGGAACUCAACGGUAAAAAGACAGACAAAAAUGGAGCUCGUAUGCGAAAGUUAUGGACGAAGCUUAGUCCCUACUUUUCGAGCGCGGCGAAUUUGAUACAGUUUUGUAAAUCCGAGAUAGAAUGAGAAUUAGCCAACGAGGUCUAAAUGAAAGUUGAAGAUCUCAUUAAUAGGAACUCAACAGUAAAAAGACAGACAAAAACGGAGCUCGUAUGCAAAAGUUACGGACGAAGCUUGGAGACUACUUUACUAUACACUUCCUAUAAAUACAAGGGUGAACUCCUCAUAUUUUCUUCACACCAUAAGCCUUUCUUUCUCUCUCUAACUUCUCUCUAGCCUCCCUAAACCCCUCCCAAGUCUACGGAACCUCCCUAGCACGAGAAGAAAGCCCCGGAGCGCCCGACGGCUCCGAGAAGAAAAGCUUUCGGCUUGGAAACGCUGCUCCAGCGAAGCCCGGUUUUUAAUAAAAACUCGCUGUAAGUGAGCUACGCCUAUACUAUAUUUAAUAUAGAUUUUAUUUAAUUAUAGUAACAUUAUUAGGACCUUAAAAUAAUUAUUUGGGCUAUUAUUAUGAGUUAUAUUGAGUGUUAUUUAACGCUUAUAUAAUAGUAAUAAUAGCUAGACUAUUAAUUAGUCGUGGUUAACGUUAAAAACUAAACCCUAGUGGUAUUGAUACUAGGUUUUGUCGAGGAAAAUUGUUUUGAGAUAACGAAGUGCUGUCUGAGUUCGGAAUCACCACCUAAUCAGGUGAGUGCAUGGUCUCUUUCAUCUUACACAUAGAUAUGAAGUAUUUUAAUAUAAAUUACGUGUUAUGUGUGCAUAUUGUCUGAAUACUUGUUGUCUAUGCUGGUGAAAGAUUUUUAUACAUGUUUUAAAUGAUGUAAACUGUAUAAAGUAUUUUAUAUCUACAAAAUAUGUUGGGUAAAACAUGGGUAGAUGAAUGAUGAUGGAUAAAAGCUGAAAUAGAGGAACAUUAGUAGUACGGACCUAGUGCCCUAUAGGUAUACAUUGGCAGCAGUGGACCUAGUACCCUAUAGAUGAGCACUGGCAGCUGCGCCACAACCCGUAGAUGAUUUAGAUCUACGGUAAACGUCCUAGCAGCUGCGCUCUAAGGAUAGUAUCGGCAGUUGCGCCUAAUAGGGAGCCUUAUGACCAUGACAGUAGUGUUUAAAGGUCAAUACCGGCAGAAGCGCCUCAUAGAAAAUGUCCUAAUUCUGGCAGCUGAGCCUAAGUGACAAUAUUAGCAGCUGCGCUUGACCAAUGUGUCAUUGGCAACAAUGGACUUCAUGUUGUUUCCUUAGGAUGAUCCUUAGGAAUGAAUGAAUGAGAAAUAGCUGAUUCUUAGGGUAGAUCCUUAAGAAUAAAGAAGAUAAUGGGGAUGGGUAAUUGGGUUGAUUGUUUGAUUGUUUAAACAUAAUAAUUAUAUUAUUGUGGGUUGAAAACCCUAUGUACUCACCAGGUUUCCCAACCUGACCCACUCAGUUUAUUUAUAUCACAGGUGUUGAUAUGAAGUGACAUUACACUGAGAGAUUUAAAGAGAUGUAGAUCACUAGUGUAAAUAAUUGUAAGUUCUGUUUAUGCUUAUGUUUCUGUAUUAACGAUGACAUCCCAAACGUUUUAAAAUGAAAUAAAUACGUUUCUUCGAAAAUGUUUUAAUAACGUAUUUACCAUGUUUUUCUGGGAACAAAUUCCGCAACAUUUUUAUAAAAUGAAGUACUCUGAUUUUUAUAAAGCAUAAACAACAUUGGUCUUUUCUGGCCGUGAAAAUGGGGAUGUCACAUGUGUGCACUCCGCAAAAACCCGUACAUAUAUUAGAGUACAAAUUAUGAAGCCCCUUAGCUCACACGUUAGUUCUAAUCACAUAAAAUGACAUGGUGACACUAAAAUCACCAACAAUCCUCCCCCAUUUUAGUGUAACCCUUGAACAAACAUAACCUUAUCAAAACAAACCAAACUACACAUAAUGAAAAUAUCGAACAUAUACCUAGGAUGAAUACUUCAUGUGUUCCAAUCUAUAAGUAUGAGCUUUCCACAUUGAAUUCAACUCCUAACAUUAUAUUAGGAGGGAAUUGGGUGUCUCAUCAUUACAAAAUUAAAUGGAAUUUAAU
rnacentral:lncRNA from 1 species